rnacentral:rRNA from 1 species
GACGAACGCUGGCGGCGUGCCUAAUACAUGCAAGUCGAACGAACUCUGGUAUUGAUUGGUGCUUGCAUCAUGAUUUACAUCUGAGUGAGUGGCGAACUGGUGAGUAACACGUGGGAAACAUGCCCAGAAGCGGGGGAUAACACCUGGAAACAGAUGCUAAUACCGCAUAACAACUUGGACCGCAUGGUCCGAGCUUGAAAGAUGGCUUCGGCUAUCACUUUUGGAUGGUCCCGCGGCGUAUUAGCUAGAUGGUGGGGUAACGGCUCACCAUGGCAAUGAUACGUAGCCGACCUGAGAGGGUAAUCGGCCACAUUGGGACUGAGACACGGCCCAAACUCCUACGGGAGGCAGCAGUAGGGAAUCUUCCACAAUGGACGAAAGUCUGAUGGAGCAACGCCGCGUGAGUGAAGAAGGGUUUCGGCUCGUAAAACUCUGUUGUUAAAGAAGAACAUAUCUGAGAGUAACUGUUCAGGUAUUGACGGUAUUUAACCAGAAAGCCACGGCUAACUACGUGCCAGCAGCCGCGGUAAUACGUAGGUGGCAAGCGUUGUCCGGAUUUAUUGGGCGUAAAGCGAGCGCAGGCGGUUUUUUAAGUCUGAUGUGAAAGCCUUCGGCUCAACCGAAGAAGUGCAUCGGAAACUGGGAAACUUGAGUGCAGAAGAGGACAGUGGAACUCCAUGUGUAGCGGUGAAAUGCGUAGAUAUAUGGAAGAACACCAGUGGCGAAAGGCGGCUGUCUGGUCUGUAACUGACGCUGAGGCUCGAAAGUAUGGGUAGCAACAGGAUUAGAUACCCUGGUAGUCCAUACCGUAAACGAUGAAUGCUAAGUGUUGGAGGGUUUCCGCCCUUCAGUGCUGCAGCUAACGCAUUAAGCAUUCCGCCUGGGGAGUACGGCCGCAAGGCUGAAACUCAAAGGAAUUGACGGGGGCCCGCACAAGCGGUGGAGCAUGUGGUUUAAUUCGAAGCUACGCGAAGAACCUUACCAGGUCUUGACAUACUAUGCAAAUCUAAGAGAUUAGACGUUCCCUUCGGGGACAUGGAUACAGGUGGUGCAUGGUUGUCGUCAGCUCGUGUCGUGAGAUGUUGGGUUAAGUCCCGCAACGAGCGCAACCCUUAUUAUCAGUUGCCAGCAUUAAGUUGGGCACUCUGGUGAGACUGCCGGUGACAAACCGGAGGAAGGUGGGGAUGACGUCAAAUCAUCAUGCCCCUUAUGACCUGGGCUACACACGUGCUACAAUGGAUGGUACAACGAGUUGCGAACUCGCGAGUGUAAGCUAAUCUCUUAAAGCCAUUCUCAGUUCGGAUUGUAGGCUGCAACUCGCCUACAUGAAGUCGGAAUCGCUAGUAAUCGCGGAUCAGCAUGCCGCGGUGAAUACGUUCCCGGGCCUUGUACACACCGCCCGUCACACCAUGAGAGUUUGUAACACCCAAAGUCGGUGGGGUAACCUUUUAGGAACCAGCCGCCUAAGGUGGGACAGAUGAUUAGGGUG